UACGUAGGGUGCAAGCGUUGUCCGGAAUUAUUGGGCGUAAAGAGCUCGUAGGCGGUUUGUCGCGUCUGCUGUGAAAACUCGGGGCUUAACCCCGGGCCUGCAGUGGGUACGGGCAGACUAGAGUGCGGUAGGGGAGACUGGAAUUCCUGGUGUAGCGGUGAAAUGCGCAGAUAUCAGGAGGAACACCGAUGGCGAAGGCAGGUCUCUGGGCCACUACUGACGCUGAGAAGCGAAAGCAUGGGGAGUGAACAGG
rnacentral:rRNA from 1 species